GAUGAAGAACGUAGCGACAUGCGAUAAGUAAUGUGAAUUGCAGAAUUCAGUGAAUCAUCGAAUCUUUGAACGCACAUUGCGCCCCCUGGUAUUCCGGGGGGCAUGCCUGUCCGAGCGUCAUUACAACCCUCAAGCUCAGCUUGGUGUUGGGCCCCGCCGCCCCGGCGGGCCCUAAAGUCAGUGGCGGUGCCGUCCGGCUCCGAGCGUAGUAAUUCUUCUCGCUCUGGAGGUCCGGUCGUGUGCUCGCCAGCAACCCCCAAUUUUUUUCAGGUUGACCUCGGAUCAGGUAGGGAUACCCGCUGAACUUAAGCAUAUCAAUAAGCGGAGGA
rnacentral:misc_RNA from 1 species